CACCGAGUGGCCAGCAAGCGUGAAUCAUUCACUUUGAUGCUAACGAUUCUUGUCAAGAUGAAGGCGACGUGUUUAGUAUUGCUGUCGGUGCUUGCGUUUUGUUACGGUGAGCUUGUCUGUGAUCCAGCAGAAUGUCCUGAUGGAAAAAAAUGUGUCUGGACCUGCAAAA